rnacentral:rRNA from 1 species
UCCAGACUCCUACGGGAGGCAGCAGUGAGGAAUAUUGGUCAAUGGGCUUACGCCUGAACCAGCCAAGUCGCGUGAGGGAAGACUGCCCUAUGGGUUGUAAACCUCUUUUGUCAGGGAGCAACGCCGGCUACGUGUAGCCGGACUGAGAGUACCUGAAGAAAAAGCAUCGGCUAACUCCGUGCCAGCAGCCGCGGUAAUACGGAGGAUGCGAGCGUUAUCCGGAUUUAUUGGGUUUAAAGGGAGCGUAGAUGGGUUGUUAAGUCAGUUGUGAAAGUUUGCGGCUCAACCGUAAAAUUGCAAUUGAUACUGGCAGCCUUGAGUACAGUUGAGGUAGGCGGAAUUCGUGGUGUAGCGGUGAAAUGCUUAGAUAUCACGAAGAACUCCGAUUGCGAAGGCAGCAUACCGGCGCUCAACUGACGCUCAUGCACGAAAGUGUGGGUAUCGAACAGGAUUAGAUACCCUAGUAC